UCGUUAACGAACGAGACCUUGACCUACUAAAUAGCUCUACUUGCGAUUGCAGGUAGCUAGCUUCUUAGAGGGACUAUCUAUUACAAGUAGAUGGAAGUUCGAGGCAAUAACAGGUCUGUGAUGCCCUUAGACGUUCUGGGCCGCACGCGCGCUACACUGACGGAGCCAGCGAGUCGACCAAGCCCGAGAGGGCUAGGUAAUCUUGUGAAACUCCGUCGUGCUGGGGAUAGAGCAUUGCAAUUAUUGCUCUUCAACGAGGAAUUCCUAGUAAGCGCAAGUCAUCAGCUUGCGUUGAUUACGUCCCUGCCCUUUGUACACACCGCCCGUCGCUAAUACCGAUUGAAUGGAUGA
rnacentral:rRNA from 1 species